AUGAGAAAUCAGAAAUGAGCAUUCCAGCGUGAAUGUUGAUUUCUGACUUUUGUCAGAUCGUUCUUUAAAAAUUCGGAUAUGUGAUAGAAAUAGACUGAAGACCAGUUUCACUGCUGGAAUUCAGGCUAAGGUAAAAUUUGUGAGUUCUGCUCGUAAGAGCGACGUGCGAAUUUUCGGCGAAUGUCGUCUUCACAGUAUAACCAGAUUGCUUGGGGUUAUAUGGUCAAGUGAAGAAGCGCAUACGGUGGAUGCCUUGGCAGUCAGAGGCGAUGAAAGACGUGGUAGCCUGCGAAAAGCUUUGGGGAGUCGGCAAACAGACUGUGAUCCAGAGAUCUCUGAAUGGGGGAACCCAGCCAGCAUAAGCUGGUUAUCUUGUACUGAAUACAUAGGUGCAAGAGGCGAACCAGGGGAACUGAAACAUCUAAGUACCCUGAGGAAAAGAAAUCAACCGAGAUUCCCUUAGUAGUGGCGAGCGAACGGGGACCAGCCCUUAAGUUGAUUUGAGAUUAGUGGAACGCUCUGGAAAGUGCGGCCAUAGUGGGUGAUAGCCCCGUACACGAAAAUCUCUUAUCAAUGAAAUCGAGUAGGACGGAGCACGAGAAACUUUGUCUGAAUAUGGGGGGACCAUCCUCCAAGG
rnacentral:sRNA from 1 species